CCUUGACAAACCUAAAUCCCCCAAACUUACUGGCGUUGCAUCGGUUGCAUCUGAAAAAUCAAAUUGUAAGGUGCAAAUUGAUACCCUGGAAGAGUUCCUCUAAGCAGAUUUUGCUCCUGUAGUUUUUGUCCAUAUGAUGAUAUUCCACAUAAAGGGGCCAUCAACAAAUUGCCAUUUGCUUGGCUGAAAACACCAGCUGCUCCUCCGCCUUCAUUUUGUGGUUUCCAGUCUAUUAAUCCUUUGGCCAUGCCAACCAUUUUUUGUUGUGGCUGUGAUUGUAGACUUGUGGUAGAAUGAUCUGGGGAUGAUUUCUUCUCAUCAGGUGAAGGAGACUUGGUGUCUGGAAGAUUGACGGUAGUGAUAUCAUGGAUGCUGGACCUUCUCUUAUCCUUCCCUCCUGUGCUCUGCCUGAUAAAAUACUUCU
rnacentral:misc_RNA from 1 species